rnacentral:lncRNA from 1 species
CAUCUUCCUCACCCUCGCCUUGAUCACCCGCUCUCAAACCUUCAUGGUGUGACUUAUUAAUUUGAUACCCCUAUAGUUGUUGCAGCACUGGAUGUCCCCUUUGUUCUUGUACCAGGGCACCACUAUACUCCACCUCCACUCCUCCGGCAUCCUUUUGGUCCUGAAGAUCGCAUUGAACAAUCUCGAGAGCCACUCCACUCCGGACCUACCCAUGC